UUAACAGCUCAAAAAAUAAUUAUGACUACUAGAGAUCUAUAGAUACUUGAACAUAGUAAGC
rnacentral:sRNA from 1 species